UACGUAGGGGGCGAGCGUUGUCCGGAAUCAUUGGGCGUAAAGAGCGUGUAGGCGGCUUGGCAAGUCUGACGUGAAAGUCCGGGGCUCAACUCCGGAUCUGCGGUGGGUACGGGCAGACUAGAGUGAUGUAGGGGGAGACUGGAAUUCCUGGUGUAGCGGUGAAAUGCGCAGAUAUCAGGAGGAACACCGAUGGCGAAGGCAGGUCUCUGGGCAUUAACUGACGCUGAGGAGCGAAAGCAUGGGGAGCGAACAGG
rnacentral:rRNA from 1 species